rnacentral:rRNA from 1 species
GUCUAUGGCCAUGCCACCCUGAACAAGCCCAAUGUCUGAUCUCGGAAGCUAAGCAGGGUCGGGACUGGUUAGUACUUGAAUGGAAGACCAGGUGCUGAGGCA